UUUUUUUUCUUUUUCAUUUAUAAUCUAUUACAUCAUUAGCUCUUUAAAUUAAUUCACAUUAUGCUUAUGAUUAUUUUUUUGUAUGAAACGAGAAAUAGCGAAGUUGUAGGAGAUUACAAAAACGAAAAGCAAGGAGGAGUCGAGCAUCGAAGGACGUCGCUCUAUUUGCAGAGCGUCGGAGGCGAACGAAAAUGGAGAGUCGCUUCCACGCGUUUGCCUUGCGGAUGAAUAUUCCGCUUGUGUCAACUAAGCGUUUCGUGUUCGUCGCUCUCAACGAAUCUGCUGGAUAAAUUUGUUGGAAGACCUUCGACUUUUCAAUCUCUAUUAAUUCUCCCUUUUACGACAGAAAAAUACUUACAAUUAGAUUUAUUACAAUAUUGUCAUAUUUUACGAGCUAAUAAAUUAAUCAGACAAAAGUAACAGAUCGUUGGAGGUAAAACCGA